rnacentral:rRNA from 1 species
UACGUAGGGUGCAAGCGUUGCUCGGAAUCACUGGGCGUAAAGGGCGCGUAGGCGGCUUUUCAAGUCGGGGGUGAAAGCCUGUGGCUCAACCACAGAAUUGCCUUCGAUACUGUUAGGCUUGAGACCGGAAGAGGUGAGUGGAACUGCGAGUGUAGAGGUGAAAUUCGUAGAUAUUCGCAAGAACACCAGUGGCGAAGGCGGCUCACUGGUCCGGUUCUGACGCUGAGGCGCGAAAGCGUGGGGAGCAAACAGG